rnacentral:lncRNA from 1 species
CUCCAGGAAGUCUAUAUACGGGUAUCCUCGGCAGACCCAACACUCAAUAUCUGCCGGUACUGCUACUAGGGUGAUCCUGAGACGCGACCCAUAGUCUCAGCUCCUCAUCCUGAUCUAAUACAAUAUCGGAAAGAGGGGUGGCAGAAUCUAACGGCUCAGAACCCCUCCUAAUAGUCUCUAACUCAGCUAUACGCUCGUCCCGAAGCUUCUGAAAUCGGUCCUGUAAUGUAUUCCGUAUAUGUAUGUUAAUUAUAUCAUUUUAUUUACGAUUGAAUAUUAUUAAAAGCUAAAUAGUAAGAUGACUUUUACCCGUAUAGCUAAAGCUGCCUGAGACAAAGCACGCUCGUCCUUAGGCGUGUGGGCUCGAUCCCAAAACUCUAGCAUGGUAGGAUCUCGGCCCAAGGUCCUCCCCAAUGCCUAAUACAAACAUUCAUAAAAUAGGUCUUAAGUAUUUGUGUGAGAACUUGACACAUAAAUAACUAUAUACAACGCACUUACUGUCUUCGCCUCCUCGAACGACUGAGAACCAGUGGUGUGUACUAUCCGGAGCUGACCACGGUUCUUCUUCGCCUGCUCGAACUUUUUCUUGAAGUUAUCAUCCUCCUAGUGCGCACACAUAGCCUCCCAAGCUAAAUCGGAGACUAUGCGGGGCUGAUGAUCUCUGAUGAUGCUCUCGGGCUGGUCCACAACUGCCCGGGCUGCCUUCUGUCGCAUCUCAUACAGCCAUCCAGAGUAAUUCACAACGUGAUGCUCAAUCACAGCAUCGCCAGCUGACUGAGAUAUGCUCGGGUCAAAUCGAUAAUAAACCUAUACCAAAAGAUUAUUUAAAAUUAAGAACAUUUGAUUUUGUCAUCCCAAUACAACUAUGUGGUGAUAAUAUGCUUAACUUACGUGGAACUCCCGCAAGACGGUCUACAUAAAAGUGGCAUCGUACUGUGCAUACUGACUGAACCGCAUGCACCCUCUCGGGAGAUGCGUCAAACAAAUCACAUGUAGGGUGUGCUUAGCCACCGAGUCUAGUAUACUACCGAAAAAGUAUAACAAUAUGUGUUAUGUGAAUUGUGUUUUGCAAUAACUGAUAGAAAUAGUACGAAUAUAUUAACACUUAC